GGCCGGCUCCUAGUGGCGGCGCCGCUCGCACGGGGCCAUUCCCGCAACUGAAACCUCCCGGGCUCUUCCGAGUCCUGGCCCGCCGCCUGCCAGCCUCGCGACUCUGCGCACCAAGGGCCCUAACUAGCCAAGAUGCCGAUCGACGUUAAUGAUGUGAUACACCUAUUGUGCCGUAUCUCUGAGGAGAGGAAGAUGAAGGCUGCUAUCAAGCAUGCUGGACAAGGAGCGCUAGUAGCGGGUGCAACAGCAUUUCUCGGGGGUUUAAUGGGGGGUCCACCUGGAAUAGCUAUAGGGGGUGCAGUUGGUGGUUUAUUUGGUGCUUGGAUGUCUGCUGGACAGUUUAAGCCAGUCCCUCAGAUUAUACUGGAACUGCCUCCUGCUGAGCAGCAGAAGCUCUAUGAUGAUGCCGUAGCUAUUAUCAGGAACUUAGACUGGACUGAUGCUGCACAGUUGACUGCACUUGUAAUGGGAAAUGCCGCCCUCCAACAGAAGUUGGCAGCAGUGUUAAUAAACUAUCUUUCACAUGAGCUAAGAGCAGAAAUACGUGUAUUUCACACAGAAGUUCCACAUCUUGAAAGAAGUUAUGGCAAGUUAAUCAUGCAAAUUGGGCUGAGUCAACCCGAUGAACACUUACAGGUUUAAAGAACAAGGAUACUGGAGGUGACCUUUGCUGCAGCUCGCCAAUAAGGGCACCUAGCUCGCAACCCUGAUACUGCUUCCCUCAGAUGUCAACAUUUUUUAAGAGCUGAAGUUCUGCCAGUCUUGCGCUAUGGAGCUCGCAGAGAGGAGUGUGGAUUCUAUCUUAAAGGAUAUUUUCAGAAAAGCAGCACUGCAGUGCUCAUGACACAUCCCAGCCUUGGAGGAGAAGUCCCCUCUUCCCGACAGAGGAAGUAUAGCACAGGCAGUAGCAGCACAAGCUACCCCAUCAAUGGGCCUCUACUAUCAACAAAAGGGUCCACCCCCAGAUCUGGAGUCUUGCCUACUUUUGGACACGUACAAGAAAACCUUAGGAGAGGAGCUUUGAGCACAAAGGAGAUAAAGAAGGCAACGAUACACAGCCAAAUGAGAAACAACAGAGGAGAGACUGAAACAAGGGCAGAUUGGUGUGGGGGAAUUCAGGGUAUAAGAAAAUACAGCAGAUAAUUUUGGGAUAAUCAGUGCAGAACUGAAAAGGUUUUACACAGACUCUUGAUCCUGCUUAUGGCAAUCUCACCAUAUGGUAGUACAAGAGCUUGACUCCUGGGUUCUAUUCCCAGCUCUGCUACUGACUCACCAUGUGAUCACCUCCUCUCUUUCCCAUGUUACUUAUCUGUAUAAUGGGUAAAAUAAGCCUUAGCUCUCACAGAGGGGCUCUGUGAGACUAUUAGGGUAUAAAGUGCUUUAAGAAGGGUGGAGUAUGUGUAGUGUGUUUAGCAUCUAAAGGUGGAGCAGGGUUCAGGACAAUGCCCUGGUGAGAAUUCUACCAUGCCCCAUUCUGUCCCAGAUGUUGACGGGUUAGUUGGCUUCUCAUUAGGCACUGGUACUGGACAGUGGAAUUACAACCUUCCACAUUAGUCUGUGAUUUUUAGGGUAAUCCUCUAUUUUAGAAGAAUAGUAAAGUUUUGUAGUGAGUGGAAGCGACUGGAUAGUCAGGAAAAAGAGAGAGGGAGAAUUCUAUAUACUUCCUACACUUCUAAAUAAACUGACAACAUAAUCCCAGAUUAAGGAUAUGCCGCCAAAAGACACAAGGUAAAAUUUUCAUAAGCACCUUACUGCAAGUCAGUGGGACUUAGGCUUCUAAAUCAUUUAGGACAAUUUUUAACUAUCAUGCUUAUUUUGGCUCUUAGGCACAGAACACUUGCAAAUUUUUUUUUACACCAGAACAAUGGGACAAACAGACUGGGUAUAAACACCCUUUCCACUCUCAAAUGAGAGAGAAACUAAGGGAACUACCUGUCUAGUGGCAUACGUGGAUCUGGAGAUUAUAUUCUUGUACCCCAGUACCCUAACCUGUUACUUUUUUUGAAAGUAGAACCAUGAAUUACCCAAGGAAAGAAAAAAAAUCCUCCAAACCAUUGCUUGUUAGUAUGUUGCCAGUAUGGGGUCAGAUGGGCAAAACAGUUUUAUUACACAUUCCUGCUAUCCCAUGAUCCCACCCAUGGAUUUCUGCCUCUCUGGUAAAAUUUGCUCUGAUUUAAUCAGUUCAAAAAGAUAAGAAAAGUUCACUUGCCACCUUAUUCCCCAAGGAAUAAAUGGCUUAUUAAAGUGAGUGUGUACUUCUCAGAUAAACUGUAAGUUACCAUCAGGCUGCAAAACGAAUUUUACUUUAAUAACACUGUGAUUCAUUUAAAAUGUUAUUUAGUUUUCUGUACAAAUGGAAGGCACUGCAUGAAUUUAGGGAUUUUCUUUUUUUUACUAGUAAAUAAAACAGACUUCUGGGAAUAUGCAAUAUUGUAUUUUUUUCCUCCCAUCAAUGAAGUGAGACACCAUAAUUUAG